rnacentral:piRNA from 1 species
UAGAUAUGGAUGUGAUCCUGCUUGGCUA